rnacentral:rRNA from 1 species
GAUGAACGCUGGCGGCGUGCCUAAUACAUGCAAGUCGAGCGAACAGAUAAGGAGCUUGCUCCUUUGACGUUAGCGGCGGACGGGUGAGUAACACGUGGGUAACCUACCUAUAAGACUGGGAUAACUUCGGGAAACCGGAGCUAAUACCGGAUAACAUUUGGAACCGCAGGGUUCUAAAGUGAAAGAUGGUUUUGCUAUCACUUAUAGAUGGACCCGCGCCGUAUUAGCUAGUUGGUAAGGUAACGGCUUACCAAGGCGACGAUACGUAGCCGACCUGAGAGGGUGAUCGGCCACACUGGAACUGGGACACGGUCCAGACUCCUACGAGAGGCAGCAGUAGGGAAUCUUCCGCAAAGGGCGAAAGCCUGACGGAGCAACGCCGCGUGAGUGAUGAAGGGUUUCGGCUCGUAAAGCUCUGUUAUUAGGGAAGAACAAAUGUGUAAGUAACUGUGCACGUAUUGACGGUACCUAAUCAGAAAGCCACGGCUAACUACGUG